GACGAACGCUGGCGGCGUGCCUAAUACAUGCAAGUAGAACGCUGAAGAGAGGAGCUUGCUCUUCUUGGAUGAGUUGCGAACGGGUGAGUAACGCGUAGGUAACCUGCCUGGUAGCGGGGGAUAACUAUUGGAAACGAUAGCUAAUACCGCAUAAAAUGGAUUAUCGCAUGAUAAUCCAUUGAAAGGUGCAAAUGCAUCACUACCAGAUGGACCUGCGUUGUAUUAGCUAGUUGGUGGGGUAACGGCUCACCAAGGCGACGAUACAUAGCCGACCUGAGAGGGUGAUCGGCCACACUGGGACUGAGACACGGCCCAGACUCCUACGGGAGGCAGCAGUAGGGAAUCUUCGGCAAUGGACGGAAGUCUGACCGAGCAACGCCGCGUGAGUGAAGAAGGUUUUCGGAUCGUAAAGCUCUGUUGUAAGAAAAGAACGAGUGUGAGAGUGGAAAGUUCACACUGUGACGGUAUCUUACCAGAAAGGGACGGCUAACUACGUGCCAGCAGCCGCGGUAAUACGUAGGUCCCGAGCGUUGUCCGGAUUUAUUGGGCGUAAAGCGAGCGCAGGCGGUUAGAUAAGUCUGAAGUUAAAGGCUGUGGCUUAACCAUAGUACGCUUUGGAAACUGUUUAACUUGAGUGCAGGAGGGGAGAGUGGAAUUCCAUGUGUAGCGGUGAAAUGCGUAGAUAUAUGGAGGAACACCGGUGGCGAAAGCGGCUCUCUGGCUUGUAACUGACGCUGAGGCUCGAAAGCGUGGGGAGCAAACAGG
rnacentral:rRNA from 1 species